rnacentral:rRNA from 1 species
CAGGACGAACGCUGGCGGCGUGCCUAAUACAUGCAAGUCGAACGGUCUUUCUAUGGAAGCUUGCUUCCACUGAGAAGAUAGUGGCGAACGGGUGAGUAACACGUGGGUAACCUGCCCAUAAGAGGGGGAUAACAUCCGGAAACGGGUGCUAAUACCGCAUAGUUUUCUUGAUUGCAUGAUUGAGAAAGGAAAGACGGCCUUUGUGCUGUCGCUUAUGGAUGGACCCGCGGCGUAUUAGUUAGUUGGUGAGGUAACGGCUCACCAAGACGAUGAUACGUAGCCGACCUGAGAGGGUGAUCGGCCACAUUGGGACUGAGACACGGCCCAAACUCCUACGGGAGGCAGCAGUAGGGAAUCUUCCGCAAUGGACGAAAGUCUGACGGAGCAACGCCGCGUGAGUGAAGAAAGGUUUUCGGAUCGUAAAACUCUGUUGUCAGAGAAGAACAAGUUGGAGAGUAACUGCUCCAGCCUUGACGGUAUCUGACCAGAAAGCCACGGCUAACUACGUGCCAGCCGCCGC